UACGUAGGGUGCAAGCGUUGUCCGGAAUUAUUGGGCGUAAAGAGCUCGUAGGCGGUCUGUCGCGUCUGCUGUGAAAACUCGGGGCUUAACCCCGGGCCUGCAGUGGGCACGGGCAGACUAGAGUGCGGUAGGGGAGACUGGAAUUCCUGGUGUAGCGGUGAAAUGCGCAGAUAUCAGGAGGAACACCGGUGGCGAAGGCGGGUCUCUGGGCCGUAACUGACGCUGAGGGGCGAAAGCAUGGGGAGCGAACAGG
rnacentral:rRNA from 1 species